UUCAAAUCAUUCUGCUUAAGUUCAGCUCAAAUCAUAAGUUGUAAAUCAACUAUGAUCACAAGUGAUUGAUUUGUUUAGCUAAGUAAGCAUGAAAAAAUAAUAAUAACGAUUUCUAGUUCCUGUAAUGAAGAGAGUGGCCCUUAAAUUGCAGUCAGGUCUCUUUUUAGUCCAACUUAAAUCUAGUGGACUUGCGAUUUGGAGCCUAAUCCAUCAUAAAUAGAACUUAGUUUUUCUACUUAGACCAAUAAUUGCCAAUCCGUAUAAUAGUGCAUCCAAAUGCUAUUUAAGUAUAUCACCAUAAAACAUCUUACUAAAAUUUAAACUUGGGAUAGUUAAGUGGUCUAAAGAAACUGACAGUUCCAUAGAACAUCGAUAGGACAGUCAUGAUAAGGGUCAUCUUGAACUUCGAAAUUGGUUCCCACGAAUCUUGAAAUGCUAAAAAAAAUACAUGUACUUGAUCUUUGGGUGGGACAUUCAUUUCUGAUCAUGUGGGCGGGACAUGCAUUUCUGAUAGUGUAGUUUGUGAAUUUCAUGUAAGAAUAGUCUCCACUAGUUUUGAAAUUCUAUUAAUUGCUUCUUCAAGGAAAUCUUCAAUUAAAAGAUUUUGAUAUAAAAAAAGCAGCAGGUGGGGUCUCUAGGAGAGCCAUUCAAAGGACUUUAUAGACUAUUGUAACCGAAAAUUUCCUUGAAAUCCAUCUCUUUUGGGCCGGGAAAGGGACUUGCUGUAUACCUAAUCAAGGUACUUUUGGUCCAUCCAUUUCGGCCAUCAGUGUCACUCCAGGUAAUAUAUCCAGGACUGAAUAUUAGAAUUAAAUUCUGUAAAUUUCUAACUGUUUGAUACUAACAGAUGAAUAUAAAUAUCCUUUUUCUUUUUUCUUUUCUUUUUUUUAAUUUAAAUUUCAUACCGACUGUUAGAAGUCCGCCAGGUUGGGGAAAGAAAAGCAAGACUGGUUUGAUCAUUGGGAUUGUAGUUGGUGUUGCGCUCUGAGCUUUAUAUCCAUUUUCGCAGUUUUUAUCUAGAGAUGCAGGAGAAGGGGUAUUGAUGAAGAUGAAGAGUGUCUAAUCAUGGCUACCAAAGUAAACAAUUUCAGUUAUUCUGAACUAAGGGCUGCAAUAGAGGACUUCAGUCCGGCAAAUAAGUUGGGAGAGGGAGGAUUUGGGCCCGUUUAUAAGGUACCUUUUUGUGUUUGAUCUGAAAUAAAAAAGAAACGGAAAUUUAAGAACUGAGGAUGUGUUCGGAAGUUUCCACUUUUGUCAGUAAAACGGGUUCGGCUCAAAUCACAAAUAAGAAAAGAAUGGGUUUGUAAUUCUAGAACAUUAUUAUCUCACUUGGUUUGGGUUGGCACAGGAAAAUGCAAACUGUGUUAAGUCAGAUUUCUUUUACGCUCUAUUGUUGCCCUAAAUUGCAAUUGGGUUUGCCCAUUGCCCAUUCUCUAUUCCAAAAGCGAAGCUUCCAAAUGCACCCUGACAUUUAAACACCUUUCAAGCUCUUUUUAGAACUUUUCAUAUUAUUGCUAAAGUAAUUUGUGAGGGGAAAAAAAUGUGAAUCACAGCAUGUGUAUACCCAUGCCACAUGAGCCGACUCAAUCAUCCGGUGAGCCAUGCUUGUGCUAGGAAAAUAGACAGAAAACUACUAACUACAGCAUGUUUAGCAUAGGGAAAUGGACAGAAAACCAUCAACUACAGCAUGUUUGGCAUAGGAAAAUCUCUUAGUUUGGAACAUCUUAGCCACCUAUCGUACAUGUGACCCAAGUUGAAACUUGGUUGUGUACAUGAUUCCCAUCCACCACUAAUGAAUGGUUGGAUAUUUAGGAACAGAGUCUCAUUUAGAAACAAGAAUGCAUGAAUCUUGCUGUAGAAUUAUUUUAACUGCUCCAAUUUUAUCUUUGUUAAUUAUAGUUUCUGCUGCAGGUUGUGAAAUGUGAGUUACCGGUUGUCCCUGCAAGGGAAUUACCAUCUGAGGAAUGUCCAACCUAGCUCUCUAGUUCCCAAUCAAGUAAAUUUAGAACCACCUGCUUUCUAAUUCCCAGUCAGGGUGAAAUAAAAACAUCGUUACCUACCGGAGUAUACUGUGCAUUGGACUCUGGCUCCUAGUCCUACUUCUUACCUAUUUCUUUUUCUUUUUUGCCUGCUAUCUAAUUACCUAAAUUUCCUUCUAUGCAGUUAUAUUUUAAUCAUGCUACUGUGAAAAUGUUGAGCAACCUGAAGUAUGAAAGCAAUGCGCAGUUUGUGAGGUG